rnacentral:tRNA from 1 species
GGCUCCGUAGCCCAACUGGCAGAGGCAGCGGUUUCAGAAACCGCCCAGUGCAGGUUCGACUCCUGCCGGGGCCA